AACGAACGCUGGCGGCAUGCUUAACACAUGCAAGUCGAACGAGACCUUCGGGUCUAGUGGCGCACGGGUGCGUAACGCGUGGGAAUCUGCCCUUAGGUACGGAAUAACUCAGAGAAAUUUGUGCUAAUACCGUAUGAUGUCGAAAGACCAAAGAUUUAUCGCCUAAGGAUGAGCCCGCGUAAGAUUAGCUUGUUGGUGAGGUAAAAGCUNACCAAGGCGACGAUCUUUAGCUGGUCUGAGAGGAUGACCAGCCACACUGGGACUGAGACACGGCCCAGACUCUACGGGAGGCAGCAG
rnacentral:rRNA from 1 species